rnacentral:rRNA from 1 species
UAGAUACCCUGGUAGUCCACGCCGUAAACGAUGAGCACUAGGUGUCGGGAUCGCAAGAUUUCGGUGCCGCAGUUAACGCAUUAAGUGCUCCGCCUGGGGAGUACGUACGCAAGUAUAAAACUCAAAGGAAUUGACGGGGACCCGCACAAGCAGCGGAGCAUGUGGUUUAAUUCGAAGCAACGCGAAGAACCUUACCAGAGCUUGACAUCUUCCUGACAGGUCUUUAAUCGGACAAUUCUUCGGACAGGAA